rfam:Danio rerio chromosome 12, GRCz11 reference primary assembly.
GACACUGUGGCUCAGUGGUUAGCACUGUUAUCUCAAAGCAAAAAGGUUGCUGGUUCAAGUCCUGCCUGGGUCA